GGGGAUUUAGUUCAGUGGUAGACCGCUUGUCUAGCAAGCAUAAGGCCCUGGGUUCGGUCCCCAGCUCCG
rnacentral:tRNA from 1 species